rnacentral:rRNA from 1 species
UACGAAGGGUGCAAGCGUUACUCGGAAUUACUGGGCGUAAAGGGUGCGUAGGUGGUUUGUUAAGUCUGCUGUGAAAUCCCCGGGCUCAACCUGGGAAUGGCAGUGGAUACUGGCAAGCUAGAGUGCGGUAGAGGGUAGUGGAAUUCCCGGUGUAGCGGUGAAAUGCGCAGAUAUCGGGAGGAACACCAAUGGCGUAGGCAGCUCGCUGGGACGGUACUGACGCUGAGGCGCGAAAGCGUGGGGAGCAAACAGG